GUUUGUGUGCUGCAUAAAUGAUGAGCGACAUGGGAGUUGUUGAGAUGCCCAUAAUGAAGGUAAAUCUCUUUGGCUGUGUCCGAAUGCACAUAAUACGUCCUAAAUAGUAGCCUGUUUGAGUAUGCGAUGAAAUUAAGUUUUAUAAUAUAUGAAUUUUCCAAAAUCGAAUGUUUUAAAUGCCAGGAUGUUAUACUCAUUUUGGCUUUUCAUUUAGUAGGAUUCGCUGCAUACUUUUAGGGAAUUUCACAGCCACAAUGCAUUGGAAAAAUGGGGCUGCAAGUUUUAAUAGCUAGAUCUCUUCAAGUAAACAACAAAACAACUUGGAAGAUUGCGAAUACCGAAGCUUCUGCGGUGGUGUUCAAAUGAUCUAUGUGAAGGAGGAGGAGGGGCAGCUAUCACCUGCAUGGGUGAAAAAGAAGUGGGAGGACCUUAAGCAAAAAUACUUACACUUCUUGCUGUGCUUGGCUAAUAAAGUUCCCCUUUUCUCUGAAGCAACAACACUUUCCCAUCUAUUUCCUAUGCUUCACUGGCACAUUAAUGUGUUGAAAGCUCCCCCCACCGGAGUCAGAACAGAGGUAGGGGAGGCCACAGCAACAUUCUGGAAGUGGUAUGCGGGGAUGGGUGUGUCGCUGCAGGGGCUGCCACUCUAUCACCCCACCGGUCAUCAUCUCAUCAUAUUCCCAAGGUGUAAUUUAUAAAUGUUAUUCUGUUUUUGGUGAAGUCCUUUUUUUUUAACUCAAAGUGGAUUUCUGUUUUCUCAUUGAAAAGUGUUUGUAAUUAAAACAAAAAUUAUAUCAGUACAUGUACAGUUGGUGUGUUUUACUUCCAACAUAAAAAAAUGCACUUGCACAUCAGAGCUAUCUUGUGUAAGGUGCAUGGUAACAAUUAAGUUGAAAGAAAAAAGUAACCCGCACACUGCUCUUGCAUGUAUCACUUUUUUAAUGAAGAUUACGCUCUACUAAACUAAGUAAAGCAAUAAUAAUAACAAGAUUACAUUUCUGUAGUGCUUUUCAUAACUAUCGCAAAGCAAAAAACGAAC
rnacentral:lncRNA from 1 species